AUAUAUAUAUAUUGAAAGUAAUCUCACCACCAUAUUUAUAAAUUUUUAAAAUAAAAAAAAAAACACAUCUCAACUGCAUGUAAUCAAACAAAUUAUUUAUAUUUUGCAGUGCUUUUUACUACACCCAACCAAAUAAUAUACAUAAAAGAGUUACAACUUUUGUAUUUUCUAAUGCAUAUAUCUCAAACUAUAUUGUAUUUUUAAUUAUAUCCAACCAAAUGACCCCUAAGAGAAGUUGUUUUUAAUGUAAAUGUUAC
rnacentral:lncRNA from 1 species